GACAGAGGGUGCGAACGUUGUUCGGAAUUACUGGGCGUAAAGCGCGUGUAGGCUGUUCGGAAAGUCGGGUGUGAAAGCCCUGGGCUCAACCUAGGAAGUGCACUCGAAACUCCCGAACUCGAGUCCCGGAGAGGAAGGCGGAAUUCUCGGUGUAGAGGUGAAAUUCGUAGAUAUCGAGAGGAACAUCGGUGGCGAAGGCGGCCUUCUGGACGGUGACUGACGCUGAGACGCGAAAGCGUGGGGAGCAAACAGG
rnacentral:rRNA from 1 species